UACGAAGGGGGCUAGCGUUGCUCGGAAUCACUGGGCGUAAAGGCGCGUAGGCGGGUGUCUCAAGUCCGGGGUGAAAGUCCUCCAAGCUCAACUGGAGAACGUAGCCUCGGAUACUGGGUGCCUACGAGGGUGGUAGGGGUAGUGCGGAACUGAUCGGGUGGAGCGGUGAAAUGCGUUGAUAUACGAUAGGAACUCCGGUGGCGAAGGCGGCAUACUGGACCACAUCUGACGCUGAGGCGCGAAAGCGUGGGGAGCAAACAGG
rnacentral:rRNA from 1 species